GUUGAACCCAGCUGUGGCCAGGAUGAAAAAUUGUUAUGAUUAAAGCCCGCUGCCUUGAGACCCUACAAACAGUGGUCCAAAAUGAGACCCUUGCAGCUCUCCUGGGCUGCAGCUGGCUGUGACCAGCAACUGACUGGGGCCUCUCAGAGCCAGGGAAUUCCCAUGUUUGCUGUGCUUGGAGGAUCGCUGAGUGCUGAUGACUCCUGGGCUGAUACCCUUACUCCAAAGUAAUCCUAAUGAAAUUUCAACUAAAUCCAGACUAAGACAACUUCAAAUUGCCUAUGUGAGGUGUAAAGCAUCUUGCUGAAGUGACAGAAAGUUCUGCCUCUGGAAGUUCUGCUUCCCCAUGAUACAAUUACUCUUCUGAAGAAGAUGAGAUGUGUUUCAACGUGGAGGAAAUUGAGUGGAAAUCAGGAAUCUGGAGUUCUUUCAGAACCCUGCCACUAUCCAACUUGUCAUCUUGAUGUUACCCUGAAAUAAAAACUUUACAUAAGAAAGAGGUGGAAUAGAGAUGUUUUUAUUCCACAUAGUCUUGUAAAUGCUUUCUUUUAUACCUUUUUCCCUCCUACCACAUUUGCCAUAUCUUUAGCUGGAAAGUGGAGUUCUGCUCCUUCACAUUGUAAGUCUCGAUUUGUUCAAAGCAAUAUGGUAGUGCUUAAAUAUAUCUAUAGCCUUCAGCUUAUGUAAAAUACCCAGAACAGA